AUUGAACGCUGGCGGCAUGCUUUACACAUGCAAGUCGAACGGUAACGGGCCGCAAGGUGCUGACGAGUGGCGAACGGGUGAGUAAUGCAUCGGAACGUGCCCAGUCGUGGGGGAUAACGCAGCGAAAGCUGCGCUAAUACCGCAUACGAUCUAUGGAUGAAAGCGGGGGACCGUAAGGCCUCGCGCGAUUGGAGCGGCCGAUGUCAGAUUAGGUAGGUGGUGAGGUAAAGGCUCACCAAGCCAACGAUCUGUAGCUGGUCUGAGAGGACGACCAGCCACACUGGGACUGGGACACGGCCCAGACUCCUACGGGAGGCAGCAGUGGGGAAUUUUGGACAAUGGGCGCAAGCCUGAUCCAGCCAUGCCGCGUGCAGGAUGAAGGCCUUCGGGUUGUAAACUGCUUUUGUACGGAACGAAAAGACUCCUUCUAAUAAAGGGGGUCCAUGACGGUACCGUAAGAAUAAGCACCGGCUAACUACGUGCCAGCCGCCGCCGUAACAC
rnacentral:rRNA from 1 species